rnacentral:rRNA from 1 species
UGCAAGUCGAACGAGAAAGCACCUUCGGGUGUGAGUACAGUGGCGCACGGGUGAGUAACGCGUGGGAACCUACCCUGUAGUACGGAAUAGCCCCGGGAAACUGGGAUUAAUACCGUAUACGCCCUUCGGGGGAAAGAUUUAUCGCUAUAGGAUGGGCCCGCGUGACAUUAGGUAGUUGGUGGGGUAAUGGCCUACCAAGCCGACGAUGUCUAGCUGGUCUGAGAGGAUGAUCAGCCACACUGGAACUGAGACACGGUCCAGACUCCUACGGGAGGCGGCAGUGGGGAAUCUUGGACAAUGGGCGAAAGCCUGAUCCAGCCAUGCCGCGUGAGUGAUGAAGGCCCUAGGGUUGUAAAGCUCUUUCAUUGGUGAAGAUAAUGACGGUAACCAAAGAAGAAGCCCCGGCCAACUUCGUGCCAGCAGCCGCGGUAAUACGAAGGGGGCUAGCGUUGUUCGGAAUCACUGGGCGUAAAGAGCGCGUAGGCGGACUGCCAAGCCAGAGGUGAAAGCCCGGGGCUCAACCCCGGAACUGCCUUUGGAACUGGUAGUCUGGAGUCUCGGAGGGGGAAGUGGAAUUCCUAAUGUAGGGGUGAAAUCCGUAGAUAUUAGGAGGAACACCAGUGGCGAAGGCGGCUUCCUGGACGAGUACUGACGCUGAGGCGCGAAAGCGUGGGGAGCAAACAGGAUUAGAUACCCUGGUAGUCCACGCCGUAAACGAUGCACGCUGGGUGUUGGGCCCUUUGGGCUCAGUGCCGCCGUUAACGCAUUAAGCGUGCCGCCUGGGGAGUACGGUCGCAAGAUUAAAACUCAAAGGAAUUGACGGGGACCCGCACAAGCGGUGGAGCAUGUGGUUUAAUUCGAGGCAACGCGAAGAACCUUACCAGCCCUUGACAUCCCGAUCGCGGAUUGCAGAGAUGUUUUCCUUCAGCUUGGCUGGAUCGGUGACAGAUGGCGCACGGCUGUCGUCAGCUCGUGUCGUGAGAUGUUGGGUUAAGUCCCGCAACGAGCGCAACCCUUGUCCCUAGUUGCCAGCACAUAAUGGUGGGAACUCUAGGGAAACUGCCGGCGUUAAGCCGGAGGAAGGUGGGGAUGACGUCAAGUCCUCAUGCCUCUUACGGGCUGGGCUACACACGUGCUACAAUGGCAGUGACAGUGGGCAGCAAACCUGUGAAGGUGAGCUAACCUCCAAAAACUGUCUCAGUUCGGAUUGCAGGCUGCAACUCGCCUGCAUGAAGUCGGAAUCGCUAGUAAUCGCAGAUCAGCAUGCUGCGGUGAAUACGUUCCCGGGUCUUGUACACACCGCCCGUCACACCAUGGGAGUGGGUUCUACCUUAAGCCGGUGAGCUAACCUUCGGGGGGCAGCC